rnacentral:rRNA from 1 species
UGAACGCUGGCGGCGUGCCUAAUACAUGCAAGUCGAGCGAACGGACGCGAAGCUUGCUUCUCUGAUGUUAGCGGCGGACGGGUGAGUAACACGUGGAUAACCUACCUAUAAGACUGGGAUAACUUCGGGAAACCGUAGCUAAUACCGGAUAAUAUUUUGAACCGCAUGGUUCAAAAGUGAAAGACGGUCUUGCUGUCACUUAUAGAUGGAUCCGCGCUGCAUUAGCUAGUUGGUAAGGUAACGGCUUACCAAGGCAACGAUGCAUAGCCGACCUGAGAGGGUGAUCGGCCACACUGGAACUGAGACACGGUCCAGACUCCUACGGGAGGCAGCAGUAGGGAAUCUUCCGCAAUGGGCGAAAGCCUGACGGAGCAACGCCGCGUGAGUGAUGAAGGUCUUCGGAUCGUAAAACUCUGUUAUUAGGGAAGAACAUAUGUGUAAGUAACUGUGCACAUCUUGACGGUACCUAAUCAGAAAGCCACGGCUAACUACGUG